rnacentral:rRNA from 1 species
AUUGAACGCUGGCGGCAGGCCUAACACAUGCAAGUCGAACGGUAACAGGGAUCAGCUUGCUGAUUCGCUGACGAGUGGCGGACGGGUGAGGAAUGUCUGGGAAACUGCCUGAUGGAGGGGGAUAACUACUGGAAACGGUAGCUAAUACAGCAUAACGUCGCAAGACCAAAGAGGGGGACCUUCGGGCCUCUUGCCAUCGGAUGUGCCCAGAUGGGAUUAGCUAGUAGGUGGGGUAACGGCUCACCUAGGCGGCGAGCCCUAGCUGGUCUGAGAGGAUGACCAGCCACACUGGAACUGAGACACGGUCCACACUCCUACGGGAGGCAGCAGUGGGGAAUAUUGCACAAUGGGCGCAAGCCUGAUGCAGCCAUGCCGCGUGUAUGAAGAAGGCCUUCGGGUUGUAGAGUACUUUCAGCGGGGAGGAAGGGAGUAAAGUUAAUACCUUUGCUCAUUGACGGUACCCGCAGAAGAAGCACCGGCUAACUCCGUG